AAUCAUCUUUUUAUACACUUAAUUACAAUUUUCAGACCUCAAACUAUAUGGCGCAUGAUAUUUUAAUUCUCAAAUUUUUUAUUAGAUGUAAUUUUUUUCUCAAGCUUUCCGAAUUAUUAUAAUUAAGUUUUACAAUACAAUUUAAUUGACUAAAUAUUAAUAUAAUAGUGAAGUGAUGUAGCAUCUUAUCUAUUGUCGUAUCGUCCAUAUCAAUAUUUAGUUAAUUAAAUUAGAUAAUAUGACUUAAAUAAAAUAAUUUAUACAUCGAGACAGAAAUUAUAAUAAAUUAAAGUUUGAGAACAAAAAUGGCAGUGCCUCAUAAUUUGAGGAUCAAAAGUGUAAUUUAGCCAUUUUUAUAAUUAAUAACAAUUCAACCACCCAAAUUAUUAACACAUAAAUAGCAAACUCUCCCACCAACCACCCAACAAUCACAAAGCCAUUUUGACUUGACCAAAUGCUAAUAAAAAUAAGGGAAAACUUCAAAAAACCCCCCUGUGGUUUCGUGCAUUCUCACUUUAGUACCCUGUGGUUUAAAACGUAUCAAUUUGCCCCCCUGUGGUUUCAUUUUUAUCUUUUCGGAAGCUUUUUCGUUAAUAUUUCGUUAAAUUAUAUACAAAAAACUUUAGAUAACCAUCUAUAUUUAUCGAAUAUUCACUUUAGUAUCCUUUAAUUUUAACUUUGUCACUGAUUUAAGGAAAAAAUAAUAAUAAAAUUGAUAACAAAAAGAGAAAAACGAAACCAUAGGGGGGUAAAUUGAUACGUUUUAAACCACAGGGUACUAAAGUGACAAAGCACGAAACCACAGGGGAGGUUUUUGAAGUUUUCCCUAAAGAUAAGAUAUGAU
rnacentral:lncRNA from 1 species